CGGCCUUAGUGGCGCACGGGUGCGUAACGCGUGGGAAUCUGCCCCUCGGUUCGGAAUAACAGUUGGAAACGACUGCUAAUACCGGAUGAUGACGUAAGUCCAAAGAUUUAUCGCCGAGGGAUGAGCCCGCGUAGGAUUAGCUAGUUGGUGUGGUAAAGGCGCACCAAGGCGACGAUCCUUAGCUGGUCUGAGAGGAUGAUCAGCCACACUGGGACUGAGACACGGCCCAG
rnacentral:rRNA from 1 species